rnacentral:rRNA from 1 species
UACGAGGGGGGCAAGCGUUGUUCGGAAUUAUUGGGCGUAAAGGGCGCGUAGGCGGUGCGGUAAGUCACCUGUGAAAACUCUGGGCUCAACUCAGAGCCUGCAGGCGAAACUGCCGUGCUUGAGUGUGGGAGAGGUGCGUGGAAUUCCCGGUGUAGCGGUGAAAUGCGUAGAUAUCGGGGAGGAACACCUGUGGCGAAGGCGGGAUCUCUGGGCCAUUACUGGACGCUGAGGAGCGAAAGCGUGGGGAGCGAACAGG